rnacentral:lncRNA from 1 species
GCCCAGAAGAUGAGAAGAUGUGAUCAUCACACUUUAUAAGACAUGCACACAUAGUUCUACACACCCCAAACCAUGCAUUGACUCCUGCUCCUGGAACGAAUGACCACUUCAGGGAAUGGUGCUGUAGAGAAGGGAUGUGAAAUGUGUCAGGUCUGUGUUGGCCAGGACAUGGACUCAUAAUGUAGAUGCUUUUGCAACAUUAACAUAUGCCUGUUUUCUAUCCAGAUUUGUAGAGUGCCAGAAUUUGGCCCUAAACAUUUAAUGAAACCAUUGAGACUUAUAAUCAGAAAAAGCAGAAAAGAAAAUGAGAUGGGGGGAGGUAAGAGGAACAGAGAAAACUGUACAAAAGGCAUCUGAUUAAACCAGUGAUAAUUACUGAUAUUGUUCCACUCUGAGCCGGGAUCGCACUUCAAAAUAAAAAGUGGAAGAUAAUUUUGUUAAUAAUUUUAAUCAGCUUCCUUUUCAUGAAGGAUCAGAGAACACUAAUAGAUGGUCUCCAAAAGACAGAUAUUCAUAACACCAUCAACUCAAUAACUGAAACGAGAGACCUAUUCUCUCUCCCAUUUGUCUGAAGUAACGGGUUCCUCUAGAAGAGGAACAAUAGAGAGAGAUUGAAAAGCCUUGAUUUUAUCUAAAUGAGAGAUAUUCUUCACUAGCAGAUGCUUUAUCCUUUCAUUUAUCUUCUUCCCUCACCCCAGCGGGCUUUCCAGUCAUGUUGUCCUGUUUGUUUUCCGUCUUUGUUUCCUUUCCCCAUAGUAGGUUAAAGCCUGGAGCAGCCCAGGGUGUGCUCCGACAGGAAUCCACGCGGGUUUCCUAGGCAACAAGACUACCAGAGACUCUGCUGGGUUUUGUUUACCUUUCAGCUGUUCUCACAGAGACAUUACGGGAGAGGAGCUGGUUAGGUUCAGAUUCAUCAGGAAGACUGCAAGGAGGCCCGGCUUUGUCAACCCAUUCUUGAUUCCCAGGCCACUUCCAGGAUCUAAGUGAGCUUUCAUCAUUCAAAAAACAAAUGAGGAACAUAUCAGGAAGUCUGUAAGUGCCCCAUUAUCUCUGAAUC